rnacentral:rRNA from 1 species
AUCAUUAUUGAAAUGUUUUGAAAGGGGGACUGUUGCUGGCCUUGUAACAGAGGCAUGUGCACGCCUCCUUUCAAUCUAUUCAUCCACCUGUGCACCUUUCUGUAGAAGCUAUUCCAGGUCGUUGUUGGUGGGGCUCGUACUUCCGUGCGGCUCCGUCUCAUGAUCUUGGGCUUCUAUGCUCUUACAAACUCUAAUAAAUGUAUCUGAAUGUCUAUUUAUUGGGACUUAACUGGCCCUUUAAACUUAAUACAACUUUCAGCAACGGAUCUCUUGGCUCUCGCAUCGAUGAAGAACGCAGCGAAAUGCGAUAAGUAAUGUGAAUUGCAGAAUUCAGUGAAUCAUCGAAUCUUUGAACGCACCUUGCGCCCCUUGGUAUUCCGAGGGGCAUGCCUGUUUGAGUGUCAUUAAAUUCUCAACUUCAAAAGCUUUUGCUUCUGAAGCUUGGACUGUGGAGGCUUGCUGGCAUCAGUAGAUGUCUUCGGCUCCUCUCAAAUGCAUUAGCGGAAACCGGAUUAGUCGGACCUAAGCCUUGGUGUGAUAAUUAUCUACGCCUUGGUGUCUGGCAAGAAAAGCUCUUUGGUUGGGAUAGCUGCAACUUAAGCUUGCUCUGUCUGCUUUCAUUUCAAGGAGUUGUUUUUGGGGAUCCGCUCUCUAAUCGUCUGUUUUCCACGGACAAACUAACAUUGACUUGUUUGACCUCAAAUCAGGUAGGACUACCCGCUGAACUUAAGCAUAUCAAUAA